UUGUAAUUGAAUAGUAUUAUCGGAGGAUGUUCUGGUGUUCGAUUCUUGAAAAGUUAGGAAUUUAAAAAAUAGACAAUGAUAAAAUCCACCUGAACCAGUGCUACAAUAGUUUUGUACUGGAUUGUUGAAAAAUAUCUAGAUACCCAAGAGAACAACAUUUAAGACUGUUAAUGACAAAAUAGUGAAAUCUCCAAACUUAAAAUACGUGAUUUAAUUUUGUGGUUUGUUUGUAACGCAAAAAAUUUUUCGAACAUUAAUGUACAAUCUGCAUGUUUACAUACAUUUCAAAUCAACAUCAGAUAUCUAGGCGAUUAUCAGCAAAAUAUAUACUAUAUAGAUAGUACAUUUUGCGGUCGGAUGCCUUAUGGCUGUCACAUUCAUAUAAAGAAGUUUACUACAUAGGAUUUAAAUGUCGAAAACAAAAGAUUACAAUAUAAAAAAAGCGGGACGUGGCUUUCAUCUGGAGGAAAAACUACAAAAAGACAAUAAAAUUCAAGGAGCUGUUGAAAGCUUUGAUUUAAGCCUGGAUGCUUUAGAGACUGACCUGAAAAUAGCUCUCUCAGCGCACAGAUCGCCACAUAUGACCUUAGACGAACAAAUCGAAUUGGACAGUUAUUUGGUAUACUUAACCACCACAUUAUAUUGGAUGUAUUUAAAGUUACAGGGCUCAGAUGUGUCUAAGCAUGGUAUAAUACAUGAUUUGGGUCGCGCAAAGGAAAUCCUGGCUAGAAGCAAGGAAUUAAAUACCUCACUCGAAGCUCCUCGCUUAGAUAUGCCAGCUACCAAGCGAUUUAUUGCUGCUGGAAUGCAUACACGUUUUGUGGACAUGGGGGGCGUUAUGGUCACUGAAGAACAAUACAAAAGGAGUCUUUUGGACGUUGGGAAUAGUAAAAUAGACAAAUAAUUGUUUAUACAAAAUAAAUGGCUGCA